CAACUUCUUCUUUCUCUUCUAUUAAUAAAGAGUUAUUUUUUAUGUGGCCGUGGAGUAGGCAAAAAUUGUCGAACCACGUAAAUCUUGCCUUGUCUUAUCUUGUGCAAUUUAUUGCUUUUCUCUUUUAAAUAUUUUUCCCUUCUAUUAGCCUGACACGAUUCCCAAUACGGUGCCUUCCUAAAAUAUCUUAAAAGGGCAUCGUAAGAGAAAGCCUCUAAGUUCUGUGUGAUUACUUUCCGCCAAUUGAAGAGCGAGUUGGACGAAAGAUGAGCAAAAGAAAUCGAUGAAGGACGGAGAGACAAAAGAAGAACUUUGCCCAUUCACUCACGCAUGCGCACAAGAAAGUGAACGAGCUAGCUAAGAGGAGCUUGAACAAAAUAAUGGAUUAAGGCAAAAAAGGCGAGGAAAUACACGAGAGAGCUGGAAGGAAAAGAAAAAAAGAAGAACUUCGCUCGUUCACUCUCGCGUGUACACAAGAGAGUGAACGAGCUAACAUGUAACAGCUUGUCCGACUUUGGCUUGGAAAGGACAUCCCAUACAAACCCUAAACUAUAUAAACACCUUCUUAAACAGUUUUUGGAGGAGUUAGAAUUAUUUUGGAGAAAAGAACAUACAAGGAGCAAGGGGGAGAAUUCUUCUAUGAAUUUUUCACUUUCUUCUUCCUAUUUCCAUUGCUGGUUAUGAAUUCUAGUAUUGUAGUUUUAUAUACUAUUAUGAGUA